CGCGGCCUAUCAGCUUGUUGGUGAGGUAACGGCUCACCAAGGCAUCGACGGGUAGCUGGUCUGAGAGGACGAUCAGCCACACUGGGACUGAGACACGGCCCAGACUCCUACGGGAGGCAGCAGUAGGGAAUCUUGCGCAAUGGGCGAAAGCCUGACGCAGCAACGCCGCGUGGGGGAUAAAUGCCUUCGGGUUGUAAACCCCUUUCAGCAGGGACGAAAAUGACGGUACCUGCAGAAGAAGCUCCGGCCAACUACGUGCCAGCAGCCGCGGUAAUACGUAGGGAGCGAGCGUUGUCCGGAAUUAUUGGGCGUAAAGAGCUCGUAGGCGGUUCAGUAAGUCGGGUGUGAAAACUCAAGGCUCAACCUUGAGACGCCACUCGAUACUGCUGUGACUUGAGUCCGGUAGAGGAGUGUGGAAUUCCUGGUGUAGCGGUGAAAUGCGCAGAUAUCAGGAGGAACACCAGCGGCGAAGGCGGCACUCUGGGCCGGUACUGACGCUGAGGAGCGAAAGCAUGGGGAGCAAACAGGAUUAGAUACCCUGGUAGUCCAUGCCGUAAACGUUGGGCACUAGGUAUGGGAUCAUAUCAACGGAUUCCGUGCCGUAGCUAACGCAUUAAGUGCCCCGCCUGGGGAGUACGG
rnacentral:rRNA from 1 species